rnacentral:lncRNA from 1 species
CAAUUCAUAAGUACCAAGGUUGUAACAAAAUAUUCCUGCUUGAUUUAAAUAAUUUGGCAGUUUUAUCUAUCCCUUUUGACUUAAAAUUCUAUGGGGCUUUUGCUUUCCCAAUCCUUAGGUGGUUGCAAGAUAGAACGACAUAAUAGAUUUAGUAGUAUUUUAUUAUUUGAUCAACCUUUUAUCCGGAGGUUUUAGAAUUUUGAAAAAUGACAAACAAGUUCCUCAAAUGGGUCAGUUAUUGUACUACAUAACGUUGCUAAGUCAAAGACUGGAUCCAAGGAGAUGCAAGACAUACACUAUGACCAAGAUGUGCAAGUGUAUAGCAUAUUUUUGUUCCAUUUGCUAUUCCUCUCCCUCUUCCAUCACAUAGCUUUUGGGAAGAUUGGGCUAUACUUUUUUUUCUUUUUUUGGCUCAUGCUUCUUUGGCAUGACAUCUUUUCAUUUCCAUGCUCUUUUGACAUGGUUUAUUUUGGGCUCAUGCUUCAUUGGCAUGACAUCUUUUCAUUUUCUCCAUGCUCUUUUGACAUGGUUUGUUUCUAUAUAGCCCAAUUCUCCUUCUUGCUGAGAUUUCUGGAAGAGAGGUUUAUAACAUAAUGGAAUUUUAUUUAUGGAUGCAUAACCCUUUCAAGUCAGCGUUUUAUUUAGUGAGUGUAAUGGGUGUAUGAAGGAUAUCUCACAAGGUUCACAUGAAUUUGACAAAGUUCAAUGUAAGUACAAGCAGCAUAUGACUAAAGGUUGAAAUUGGGAUUUAUGUGAUAUGACUGUGGUAGAAUUUUAUAAUCAUCGAGGAACAUGUUUUUUUUGAAAAGGAAACUCCAGAUUUCAAGUUUCUCUUAGAACUAAGACAUAGAAUAAUCCAUUUAGCAUCUCAUAACUUGCAACAACUUAGAAAAGGAAUCAUGCUUUUGCAACCCACGAGUUUCUCAAGUCUUAGGUUAAGACGUGUUAGCCAUCGAACUUAAACAUUGGGGAUACU